rnacentral:rRNA from 1 species
UACGUAGGGCGCAAGCGUUGUCCGGAAUUAUUGGGCGUAAAGAGCUCGUAGGCGGCCUGUUACGUCUGCUGUGAAAUCCCGGGGCUUAACCCCGGGCGUGCAGUGGAUACGGGCAGGCUGGAGGCAGGCAGGGGAGAACGGAAUUCCCGGUGUAGCGGUGAAAUGCGCAGAUAUCGGGAAGAACACCCGUGGCGAAGGCGGCUCUCUGGGACGGUACUGACGCGUGAGACGCGAAAGCGUGGGGAGCGAACGAGG